rnacentral:rRNA from 1 species
GGGCCCGCACAAGCAGUGGAUUAUGUGGUUUAAUUCGAAGCAACGCGAAGAACCUUACCAGGUCUUGACAUCGUAUGACAACCCUAGAGAUAGGGCAUCCUUUCGGGGCAUACAGACAGGUGGUGCAUGGUUGUCGUCAGCUCGUGUCGUGAGAUGUUGGGUUAAGUCCCGCAACGAGCGCAACCCUUAUUGCUAGUUGCUACGCAAGAGCACUCUAGUGAGACUGCCGUUGACAAAACGGAGGAAGGUGGGGAUGACGUCAAAUCAUCAUGCCCUUUAUGACCUGGGCUACACACGUAAUACAAUGGCACUUAAACAGAGGGAAGCAAGACCGCGAGGUGGAGCAAAACCCGAAAAAGUGUCUCAGUUCGGAUCGCAGGCUGCAACUCGCCUGCGUGAAGUCGGAAUUGCUAGUAAUCGCGCAUCAGCCAUGGCG